GGUCCCGUAGCUCAACUGGAUAGAGCAAUAGACUUCUAAUCUAUAGGUUGCAAGUUCGAGUCUUGCCGGGAUCGCCA
rnacentral:tRNA from 1 species